rnacentral:misc_RNA from 1 species
UUUCCGUAGGUGAACCUGCGGAGGGAUCAUUACUGAGCGAGGGCCUCCCCGGCCCGACCUCCAACCCUUUGUGAACCAUACCUCGUUGCUUCGGGGGCGACCCUGCCGUCCGCGGCGCCGGCGCCCCCGGAGGUCUCCAAACACUGCAUCUUUGCGUCGGAGUUUAAAACAAAUGAAACAAAACUUUCAACAACGGAUCUCUUGGUUCUGGCAUCGAUGAAGAACGCAGC